GGCAAGGUGGCCGAGUGGUCUAAGGCGCUGGUUGUCAGUAUUAACUUGUCCACUACAUUACGUUCCCAAUACUAAUAGCCCUCCAGUUAGGUAUUACCAAACCACCAGUCCGAAAGGGCGUGGGUUCGAAUCCCACCCUUGUCA